CUUACCCAAAAGCUCAACUGACAGCUGUCAAGGAAAACGGCUCAUUCAUGAGACAUCACUUCUAAUCUAUCAUGUCGCUAAUAGGUGUCGAUGGUCUCACGCCGGCUCCAUACGUUGGCCCCAACGCAGGUCCCAAGUCCCAACGCUACUCGUCCAACGUAUGGAUCUAGAAAAUUGCAUUGGCCCCAACGUUGGAGCGAGCGUUGGUAGUUGGCCGGCUCGUGUCGGUUUUAUCAAAGGAAUCUGCGCCAACGCUGGCGACCACGCCCACACGUUGGCGCUUUGCUCAGUGCUGUUGUAACACGCAACGAGUGCGGACGUCGAGCAAGAAUGGAUUUCUCACCACAAAAUCGUCACCUUUAUGGAAAAAUUAAAAAGUUACAGAUUUUAUUGAAAUUAACAACAAGCACAUCCAAUAAUAUGGGACGCAACUCGAAAGGAACAUAAAAAUCAAAAUGUAUUAGCAUGCAUGGCGCAGCAUUCAUCAGAAUAUGGGCAUGAUCUUCUCAAUUGAAGAUUUUUAAAAAGGGGGAAUCAUUAAUGAGCACAUAUUUAUCGCCUCAGAGCAGUUAAGAUUUCUGUAUCGGACAUCUUCACGUUGGCUCUGUCGGGACAGAACUGGUUUAUUAGCCAACGUAUGUACGCCUCACCCAAUUUGCAGUCCAACGUUGGUACGAGCGUUGGGACCAACGUGUGGAGCCGGCCUCAAACGUAUGGAUCUAGAAAAUUGCAUAGG